rnacentral:rRNA from 1 species
GACGAACCGUGCGAGCGUUGUUCGGAAUCACUGGGCUUAAAGGGCGCGUAGGCGGGCUGUCAAGUCUGGGGUGAAAUGCUGCGGCUCAACCGUAGAACUGCCUUAGAUACUGACGGCCUCGAGGAAGGUAGGGGCAUGCGGAACUGUAGGUGGAGCGGUGAAAUGCGUUGAUAUCUACAGGAACUCCGGUGGCGAAAGCGGCGUGCUGGACCUUUUCUGACGCUGAGGCGCGAAAGCUAGGGGAGCAAACGGG